rnacentral:rRNA from 1 species
GACGAACGCUGGCGGCGUGCCUAAUACAUGCAAGUAGAGCGCACAGUUUAUACCGUAGCUUGCUACACCAUAGACUGUGAGUUGCGAACGGGUGAGUAACGCGUAGGUAACCUGCCUGGUAGCGGGGGAUAACUAUUGGAAACGAUAGCUAAUACCGCAUAAUAUUAAUUAUUGCAUGAUAAUUAAUUGAAAGGUGCAAUUGCACCACUACCAGAUGGACCUGCGUUGUAUUAGCUAGUAGGUGAGGUAACGGCUCACCUAGGCGACGAUACAUAGCCGACCUGAGAAGGUGAUCGGCCACACUGGGACUGAGACACGGCCCAGACUCCUACGGGAGGCAGCAGUAGGGAAUCUUCGGCAAUGGACGAAAGUCUGACCGAGCAACGCCGCGUGAGUGAAGAAGGUUGUCGGAUCGUAAAGCUCUGUUGUAAGAGAAGAACGGGUGUGAGAGUGGAAAGUUCACACUGUGACGGUAUCUUACCAGAAAGGGACGGCUAACUACGUG